CCCUAUUCUUGGAAUCUGAUUGCCAAUGUGUUAUACCUGGAGUCCCCAGCUGGGGUGGGCUUCUCCUACUCCGAUGACAAGUUUUAUGCAACUAAUGACACUGAGGUCGCCCAGAGCAAUUUUGAGGCCCUUCAAGAUUUCUUCCGCCUCUUUCCGGAGUACAAGAACAACAAACUUUUCCUGACCGGGGAGAGCUAUGCUGGCAUCUACAUCCCCACCCUGGCCGUGCUGGUCAUGCAGGACCCCAGCAUGAACCUUCAGGGGCUGGCUGUGGGCAAUGGACUCUCCUCCUAUGAGCAGAAUGACAACUCCCUGGUCUACUUUGCCUACUACCAUGGCCUUCUGGGGAACAGGCUUUGGUCUUCUCUCCAGACCCACUGCUGCUCUCAAAACAAGUGUAACUUCUAUGACAACAAAGACCCGGAAUGCGUGACAAAUGUGAGGUUCUACUGUCACUUUGCAUCAGCUCUCCCAUCCCUAAUCCUGAGAACGGGACCACAUUCCCUCCUUAGGGACUCCUUGUUCUCCACCCUCAUUGCUUUCUUACACCUUUAAGCAAUUUAGUGUUCUCUGGGACAUGUGUCUAAGUGUGUAUUCCCACCACCACCACCUCCUAUGGUGGCAAAUCCCAUAACCUCUGUGAGGGAGAAAGGACUUCUUCACAUUUAUCAAACUCCUGCAAUGUGGCAGGCACUGUG
rnacentral:sRNA from 1 species